rnacentral:rRNA from 1 species
UACGUAGGGUGCGAGCGUUGUCCGGAAUUAUUGGGCGUAAAGAGCUCGUAGGCGGUGUGUCACGUCGUUCGUGAAAACCUGCAGCUUAACUGUGGGCGUGCGGUCGAUACGGGCAUCACUGGAGUUCGGCAGGGGAGACUGGAAUUCCUGGUGUAGCGGUGAAAUGCGCAGAUAUCAGGAGGAACACCGGUGGCGAAGGCGGGUCCCUGGGCCGAUACUGACGCUGAGGAGCGAAAGCGUGGGGAGCGAACAGG